UUAUUUUUUUCCCCUCUCUCUCUCAGAGUCUCACAUACGGUUGUUCCCCAAAUUUUCUUUUCUUUUCUCCUCUUUCUCUCUGUCUCUCUUCACUCAAACGCAGCAGACGCUCCAUAGCCUCCAUCCACCAUUCCAUAAUUUCCAUAGCCUUCAUCUCUUAUUCUCUCCCUCUCUGAGCACUCUCCAUAACUUUUGUUGCUUUUGGGUCCGGCGGGGUUCUUAGAAAAAUCGAAAUCAAGUUCUGCUGCGUAUUCACUUCAAUUGAGAAGUUGAACUGAAAUUAAUUUAAAGACAGAGAAGAAGAAGGAAGAGUUUACACAGCCACAGAUAUGAAUUUUUGAUUUCCAUCUGGGCUAGUUACCGCUGUUAGCACUGGCUGUUAGUUAAAAUUCAUAUUGAUAUUGAUUGAAUAGAUUGAUUUAUUUUAAAAAAAUUAUUGUCAUCAA